rnacentral:rRNA from 1 species
AAACUCAAAGGAAUUGACGGGGCCGCACAAGCGGUGGAGCAUGUGGUUUAAUUCGAUGAUACGCGAAGAACCUUACCGGGUUUGACAUGCAGGUGAUCGCCGUUGAAAGACGGUUUCCUCUUCGGAGGCACCUGCACAGGUGGUGCAUGGCCGUCGUCAGUUCGUACUGUGAAGCAUCCUGUUAAGUCAGGCAACGAGCGAGACCCACGCCCACAGUUGCCAGCGUACUCUCUGGAGUGACGGGUACACUGUGGGGACCGCCGCUGCUAAAGCGGAGGAAGGAAUGGGCAACGGUAGGUCAGUAUGCCCCGAAUAUCCCGGGCUACACGCGAGCUACAAUGGUUGGUACAAUGGGUAUCUACCCCGAAAGGGGACGGGAAUCUCCUAAAACCAAUCUUAGUUCGGAUUGAGGGCUGCAACUCGCCCUCAUGAAGCUGGAAUCCGUAGUAAUCGCGUUUCAACAGAACGCGGUGAAUACGUCCCUGCUCCUU